GGUGGUGGCUCUCAGUAGGAUUGACUCAAGUGUUUUGUGUUACUAAACAGUGGUCAUACAUUCCCUCACCCAUUUUUGGCACUUAAGCAUUCAGGUUGUUUACAUAAAUUUUGGAAGAAUCUCAUGGUGUGACAUCUUUGACAACUCGAGAUUUGCUUGAAACGGAGCAAGGGUAUACUUCUCUUGUGAAAGAAGAAUUAUUGCAACCACAAUCCACCGCUAUUGCGAAGAAUGCCGAGAGAAUUGGAUAAGUCUUGGAUGUUUGAAAAUAAAAGAUUUGGUAAAGUAUACAGAGAUGGGGUGAAAUUUUUCAUUCAAUAUGCAUCUACAUAUAGUCUUUGAAAAACCCUUUGUCCUUGCCCAUGUUCUAGAUGUUUAAAUGGGGGUCGUCUCAGUAUUGAGGAAAUGCAGUAGCAUUUGAAAAGG